rnacentral:rRNA from 1 species
AGACGUCUACAUAGAUACCCCGGUAGUCCUGGCCGUAAACGAUGUGGACUUGGUGUUGGAAUGGCUUCGAGUUGUUCCAGUGCCGAAGGGAAGCUGUUAAGUCCACCGCCUGGGAAGUACGGUCGCAAGACUGAAACUUAAAGGAAUUGGCGGGGAGCACCACAACGGGUGGAGCCUGCGGUUUAAUUGGACUCAACGCCGGGAAGCUCACCGGAUAGGACAGCAGAAUGAUUGCCGGGCUGAAGACCCUGCAUGACUAGCUG